AUCAUCAACCCUCAUUCAACCUUAUUUUCUAACGCACACACACCCCUUCUCUCUCACCAAACCUCCGCCGUCUUCCUCCUCCGGCGGACUGGAUCCGGCCUACGCCCCUAUUCUCCUUCACCUCUCUGGCAGCAGUAGGUCGCCGCCGCCAUNUCCUAUGAAAUUCGAACUCAAGAUCUUGAAUUCAUGCUGUAAUUAAAGUAUGAUAAAUUUACUAUAGAUUUUCACGUUCUAAGGGUUAAAAAUAGUUUUUAGCUUAAUUUUAUUUUUCUAUAUUUUAUUUAGUUCAACGUUUUUUAAAAUGUUACUCCCUCCGUCCACGAAAAAUAGUCAUGUUUCUCCUAUUUUUUUGUCCACGAAAAAGAGUCAUAUUUCACUUUUUAUACAAUUAUACCCUUUAUAACUUUAUGUAUUUACUUUAUUUGCCAUUGAAGGACCCACCUCAAUAAUUAAGAUCUCUUUUCACUUAAACUUAAUUAGCAAUACAAAAGAGUGCUUCUAAAAUUCUCACUCAUCAUCAACCCUCAUUCAACCUUAUUUUCUAACGCACACACACCCCUUCUCUCUCACCAAACCUCCGUCGUCUUCCUCCUCCGGCGGACUGGAUCCGGCCUACGCCCCUAUUCUCCUUCACCUCUCUGGCAGCAGUAGGUCGCCGCCGCCAUGGUGCCCUGACUUGCCGUCCCUAUAAACUCUUCAAACCCUAGGGCCAAUGCCUCAUCUGCAGCAACCGCAGCCUCAAUUUCUGCUGGAGCUACAAGCGCUACUGGACCGCCGUUGUCUCUCUUCUCGCCGCCUUUGUUCAUUUUUUUCAAUUUUAGGUGGUGGUGGACUGGUGCAGCAAUAAUCCCUCAAAUUGAUUUGUUUCUUAAAUUUGUUGAUUUUAUGGGAGUUUUAGCUUCGUUUCUUAAAUUUGGUGAUUCUACCGAAGAAUCACCGGAUCUGUUGCUAUUUCCGAUGAAUCUCUGUAAAUCCAGUGAUUAUACCGAUUAUUCACUGGAUUCGUUAAUGGCGCCUCGGAUUUUCGGUGAUACGGCGCCUUUGACGGAGUCUUAUCCGCCAUUGUCAGACGUUUUGACGACGACCCACACUGAAGAUCUGUCCUUUUCGUCGUGGACUUUGGAGUCGGACACUGUGGUGCCAGAAAUGGAAUUGAUUGAGGCGUCGCUGGACUCCCCGGAAACGGAAUUGAUGGAGGCUUCAAUUUAAUUUCGAAAACAGUGUUUGAGCCUUAAAUUGUUGGAAAAUGAAAUUUGAAUUCUUAGCAACUGAAUUUCAUCUUAAUUUAAAUUGUUGGAAAUGAAAACAGGGUCAUGAGGCUUAAUUUCGAAAUGUAUUGAAUUAAUUUGAAUAAUUUAUCUUAAUUAUUUCAUCUUAAUUGAAUUCUUAAUUA
rnacentral:lncRNA from 1 species